rnacentral:rRNA from 1 species
UACGUAGGGUGCGAGCGUUGUCCGGAAUUAUUGGGCGUAAAGAGCUCGUAGGCGGUUUGUCACGUCUGCUGUGAAAUCCCGAGGCUCAACCUCGGGCCUGCAGUGGGUACGGGGCAGACUGGAGUGGCGGUAGGGGAGAUUGGAAUUCCUGGUGUAGCGGUGGAAUGCGCAGAUAUCAGGAGGAACACCGAUGGCGAAGGCAGAUCUCUGGGCCGUAACUGACGCUGAGGAGCGAAAGCGUGGGGAGCGAACAGG